UCAUUAAGAAGCUAUUAUAGCAUUAACCUUUUAAGUUAAAGAUUGGGGGCUCAAAUCCCUCCUUAAUG
rnacentral:tRNA from 1 species